CUGUAAGCCGUUGAAGGUGUGCUGUGAGGCAUGCUGGAGGUAUCAGAAGUGCGAAUGCUGACAUAAGUAACGAUAAAGCGGGUGAAAAGCCCGCUCGCCGGAAGACCAAGGGUUCCUGUCCAACGUUAAUCGGGGCAGGGUGAGUCGACCCCUAAGGCGAGGCCGAAAGGCGUAGUCGAUGGGAAACAGGUUAAUAUUCCUGUACUUGGUGUUACUGCGAAGGGGGGACGGAGAAGGCUAUGUCAGCCGGGCGACGGUUGUCCCGGUUUAAGCAUGUAGGCGGAGGUUCCAGGUAAAUCCGGUACCUUUUAACGCUGAGGUGUGAUGACGAGGCACUACGGUGCUGAAGUGAUAAAUGCCCUGCUUCCAGGAAAAGCCUCUAAGCAUCAGGUAACACGAAAUCGUACCCCAAACCGACACAGGUGGUCAGGUAGAGAAUACCAAGGCGCUUGAGAGAACUCGGGUGAAGGAACUAGGCAAAAUGGUGCCGUAACUUCGGGAGAAGG
rnacentral:rRNA from 1 species